AUGGUAGACUGUUUUUAGUUUCAUUUCUUUUAAAUAGUCAGCACAAACACAGCAGUGGAAAGCCCAGUGGUCGUAUCUGUCCACAUCAGAAGAGGAAAUGGCAGUCUGUUGGUCUUAGCUUCUCAUGAACUUCCAAAUUUAACACUGUAGUUAUCCCCAGAAUACAGCUGACACUGGCUUGAAGCUAAAGUGCUUUUCUCUCUGGUGUUAGUGGCAAGUGAGCUUGUCUACUCAGGAAUGUUCGUUCUGGUGGUAUGCUGUCUCCUGUUAGCGCUUUCAGUGUCAGAUGCAACUUUGGCACUUGAUGUCAAUACUACUGUCGGGGACUCAGCAAUUCUUCAGUGUAAUAUGAACACUAAUCCUACUGACCUUAGUAAUCUACACUUUUACUGGCAAGAUGACAGAAAUGCAGUUUUGUAUUCUAUGAAGGAAGGAAAGGACAUGGCAGAGCAUGUAAAUGGACUUUAUCAACACAGGAUCACAGCCUUCCCACAGGACAUGAAAACAGGAAAUAUUUCGGUCAAGCUAAAAAACGUAACUCUUGAAGAUAACUGGAGAAUUUUCCAGGCUUUUGCAGCCGUUUCUGAGAGUGGAGGGAGGUGGAGGCAGAUCUGCAAAAGUAACCUACAUGUUGCAGUCCCUUACAAGAACCUCAGUCUGGCUCUAAAUAUUAAAACAAGGACUGCAGUGUGCACUACACAAAGAGGAUUUCCUGCACCUUUGGUACGCUGGAUGCUCCAGUUCUCUAACAACUCCUACAAUAUUAUAGACUGGAGGGAUGCAAACAACACAGCAAUUCUGGACCCUCGUGAUAGUCUCUACAGUUCCAGCAGCACUAUAUAUAUUCCUGAAGGACCUUAUCAGUCUGUGACCUGUUUCAGCCACAACCCUACUAUAAAUAUGACUUUGAAUGCCACCUGCAUUUUAAACAAAGGUGCAGCAAUGUGGAGCCUUACUGGCUGGACUGAAGUCUUGAUAGUGGCCGCUCUCCUGUUAGCUUGAGCUGUGGUUGUGUUGCAUAUUAAAUAGCCAGGCUGUGGUGGCAGAAGACUCCAGUGGGUUCUCAGUCUACUCUUGGGGUCCAGAAGGAUUCCUUGCCACAUACAAAAGCCAACUUGAUUGGCACGUUUCAACCUGAAAAACACCCUCUGCUGUGCAAAAUACUACAGAGUCAAGAUAUGACUUUGUCUGCAUAUUUUAAACUGUAAUUCAUACAUAGAAAAAUAUAGUAUGUCAUAUCUGGGGUCCAACACGUUCAUACGAUCAGUUGUCUAAUUUUUUAUUUACUUAAAUUAUAAGGUUCAUUCUUACAACAAUUUAACUACUGAAAAUGUUCCUUCAUUGAAACAGGAAACUGGAAAUACUGUGUAAUCAUUCGCUUUGUACACUAGAAAGCAAUAACAUGAGUCUCCACAUGAAAUAUUUUGGUUUUUGCUGAAAAUACAACCAUUUAUUCAAAAGUGAAGGCAGACUGAACCAGCAUGGCUACCACUGCAUCCUGCAGCGACAUACCAUCCCAUCCUGUUUAGGCUUACUGAGACCAACAUUUAUUCUUCAACAGGACAAUGACCCCAAACACACCUCCAGCCUGUGGAAGGGCUAUUUGACCAAGAAGGAGAGUGAUGGAGUGCUGCGUCAGGUGAUCUGGCCUCCACAGUCACCUGACCUCAACCCAUUCCAGAUGAUUUGGGAUGAAAUGGAACGCAGAGUGAGGGCUGAAGGGCCAAAAAGUGCUCAGCACUUCUGUGAACUCCUUCAAGACUGUUGGAAAACCAUUUAGGUGACCACCUCAUGAAACUCAUUGAGAGAAUGCCAAGAGUAUGCAAAGCAGUAAUCAAAGCAAAAGGGGGUUACUUUGAAGAAUCUAAAAUGUGAAACAUAUUCUGAUUUGUCUGACAACAUAAUUCCAUAUGUGUUCUUUCAUAGUUGUGAUGUUUUCAGUAUUAAUUUGCAAUUUAGAAACUAAUUAAAAUAAAAAAAAAAAAAAAAAAAACACUGAAUGAGAAGGGUGUGUCCAGAGUUUUGACUGGUACUGUAUCUGCACUUCAUAUUCCCGAUUUGGUCAUAUUCUAGUAAAAAUGCUGAGUUUAUAUGUCCUCAUGUGUCAUGAGGUCAUAUGCAGCACAAACAGAUUAGUGCUAGAAUAUGAAAAUGAUAUCUCAGAAUUCUUGAGGUUCUGGCGUGAUGUUCAAACCUGGAAUCUGCCAUAAAAAAGCUCCAGAACCUUAACUUCUCUUUUACCUACGAUAAAUAGCUGUGUUUUUAGGAUGCAACCCAUGAAGCUGCAUUAAUGAUAUGCACGGUUGGAGAAUUGGACAAUAGGUGAACACCGGUGCACAACAGUGUGCUAUUGUGUUGAUGUGUGUGUUUGUGUGUGUCUGUGUGUUCAUGCGCUGGUGUGUGUGUUUGUGUGUAGGAGGAGGGGGAGGGUCUGAGGACUAGGCUAGAGCUGGCCAGGAACAUUAAGCUGUUGAACAAAUUGGCUCACAGGGCACCAACUGGGGAAAAUGCCAUUUGAGUUAGCUAAAGCAAACAGGGAAAGGAUUUUCUGCUUAGUCUGUUCAAGAGAGAAAGCUGAUUUUGAAAGGACAUAUGAUACUGCUGAGUCCCACUGGGAAGGUCUGGGGUUAGAUGUUAGUAAAAAGCAAAUUGUUUAAGACCUCACGAGCUCACUCAUUUAGACAUCACUGCCACAACUACCUUUCUUCUUUAUGUUUUAUAUUAUGGGACAGGGCUGUCAUUGACUACAAUAUCAUUGAUUACUCGAAACAACGUGGUGUAGUAAUGCAGUUGUAUAUUUUAUGCAGUAGCAUAGCCUUUUUUAAAAUCUCCAGCGAUGAUACUGCUGUUGCAGUGUGAUUCUUAGCCACAGUGGCGACAGGGAUGUAAGGAUGGCAGUGCCAGCCUAUCAGCUGGUCUAGUGCAAUGAAAUGUCUCAACAAUUAAAAGAUGAACUGCCCAUAAAUGCUGUUCAGAUACAUAUGUUCCUCAGAGGGUCAUUUCUAAUAACUUUGUGAUUCACUGACAUUAUAUCAGUCAUCAAAUAUGAUCAUCCAAAGUAGGAAAUUGCAUUUAACUCAAAGAAAUGCUUGUCCAAAUGUUUGAUUUCUGUUGAUAUAUUAAUGUGUUGUGUUAAAAGUUUUAUAAACUCUUCAUUUUCAUUUUUACUUUGUAUUUCUUUUAUUGGUGUGUAUUUGUAUUGUAAAUCCUCUGCCUCCAACACAAAGCACAUUAGAUCAACUUAUGCUCUUUUGAAAUGUGUUAUAUAAAUAAAGUUUACCUGACUUGACUAAA